rnacentral:rRNA from 1 species
UACGUAGGGUGCGAGCGUUGUCCGGAAUUAUUGGGCGUAAAGAGCUCGUAGGCGGUCUGUCGCGUCUGCUGUGAAACCCCGAGGCUCAACCUCGGGCUUGCAGUGGGUACGGGCAGGCUAGAGUGCGGUAGGGGAGAAUGGAACUCCUGGUGUAGCGGUGGAAUGCGCAGAUAUCAGGAAGAACACCGAUGGCGAAGGCAGUUCUCUGGGCCGUAACUGACGCUGAGGAGCGAAAGCGUGGGGAGCGAACAGG